AACGCGAAGAACCUUACCUGGUCUUGACAUCCACGGAAUUUGGCAGAGAUGCCUUAGUGCCUUCGGGAACCGUGAGACAGGUGCUGCAUGGCUGUCGUCAGCUCGUGUUGUGAAAUGUUGGGUUAAGUCCCGCAACGAGCGCAACCCUUAUCCUUUGUUGCCAUCGGUUCGGCCGGGAACUCAAAGGAGACUGCCAGUGAUAAACUGGAGGAAGGUGGGGAUGACGUCAAGUCAUUAUGGCCCUUACGAGUAGGGCUACACACGUGCUACAAUGGCAUAUACAAAGAGAAGCGACCUCGCGAGAGCAAGCGGACCUCAUAAAGUAUGUCGUAGUCCGGAUUGGAGUCUGCAACUCGACUCCAUGAAGUCGGAAUCGCUAGUAAUCGUGGAUCAGAAUGCCACGGUGAAUACGUUCCCGGGUCUUGUACACACCG
rnacentral:rRNA from 1 species